UACGUAGGGCGCAAGCGUUAUCCGGAAUUAUUGGGCGUAAAGAGCUCGUAGGCGGUCUGUCGCGUCUGCUGUGAAAACUCAGGGCUUAACCCUGAGCUUGCAGUGGGUACGGGCAGACUAGAGUGAUGUAGGGGAGACUGGAAUUCCUGGUGUAGCGGUGAAAUGCGCAGAUAUCAGGAGGAACACCGAUGGCGAAGGCAGGUCUCUGGGCAUUAACUGACGCUGAGGAGCGAAAGCAUGGGGAGCGAACAGG
rnacentral:rRNA from 1 species